rnacentral:rRNA from 1 species
UACGUAGGGGGCAAGCGUUGUCCGGAAUCAUUGGGCGUAAAGCGCGCGUAGGCGGCCCGGUAAGUCCGUUGUGAAAGUCAAAGGCUCAACCUUUGAACGCCGAUGGAUACUGCCGGGCUAGAGUCCGGAAGAGGCGACUGGAAUUCCUGGUGUAGCGGUGAAAUGCGCAGAUAUCAGGAGGAACACCGGUGGCGAAGGCGGGUCUCUGGGCCGAAUGACUGACGCUGGAGGAGCGAAAGCGUGGGGAGCGAACAGG